rnacentral:rRNA from 1 species
UACGUAGGGUGCAAGCGUUGUCCGGAAUUAUUGGGCGUAAAGAGCUCGUAGGCGGUCUGUCGCGUCGGCUGUGAAAACUCGGGGCUUAACCCCGGGCCUGCAGUGGGUACGGGCAGACUAGAGUGCGGUAGGGGAGACUGGAAUUCCUGGUGUAGCGGUGAAAUGCGCAGAUAUCAGGAGGAACACCGGUGGCGAAGGCGGGUCUCUGGGCCGUAACUGACGCUGAGGAGCGAAAGCAUGGGUAGCGAACAGG